AGCAUGCGCAGCAGGGAUCUGGGGUCUUCCGGCAGUCACAGCCCUGGCCAGGCAGUAGAACGGCCAUGGGGGCGUGCCAAUCCGGACUCUCGUCUUACGGAAGCGGGCGGGGCGGCUGAGGGUCAAGUUCAUAGGCCGCUUUGCAGUUGGCGCUCGCCUUGUUACCUCUGGCCCCGGCAGAUAAGGAGUGAGAGCCAGGUGAGGAGCCAUCUGCUAUUUCCUGGAUGUUUGCCAACCCUGGACCUGCAGCAUAAACUUCAAAUUUCGUAGCCUUACCUCUGACAACAGUCAAUCACAGCAUUCUGAGACCUAGCAGGACCGACUUGCUCUGGAAUUGGAUUUAAGUAAACCUCACUCUCAUCUUCCUGAAUCAUCAGAAGUCCAGUGGCAGGACCAAGUCAGGAUGACCGGUGAUGGCUUGGGAUGGAGUGGAUGACCUUGGCCUCUCCGAUGUCUGAUGAAGCUCUAAGCACUCCACGAGGCCUGCUUCAGCCACCUUUGU